rnacentral:rRNA from 1 species
AGGAUGAACGCUGGCGGCGUGCUUAACACAUGCAAGUCGAACGAUGAUGCCCAGCUUGCUGGGUGGAUUAGUGGCGAACGGGUGAGUAACACGUGAGUAACCUGCCCUUGACUCUGGAAUAAGCGUUGGAAACGACGUCUAAUACCGGAUACGAGCUUCCGCCGCAUGGUGAGGAGCUGGAAAGAUUUCGGUCAAGGAUGGACUCGCGGCCUAUCAGGUAGUUGGUGAGGUAAUGGCUCACCAAGCCUACGGACGGGUAGCCGGCCUGAGAGGGUGACCGGCCACACUGGAACUGACGACACGGUCCAGACUCCGUACGGGACGCAGCAGGUAGGGAAUAGUUGACACAAUGGGCGCAAGCCUGAUGCA